UACGGGAGGCAGCAGUGGGGAAUUUUGGACAAUGGGCGAAAGCCUGAUCUAGCAAUCCCGCGUGCAGGAUGAAGGCCUUCGGGUUGUAAAGUUGUUUUGUUCGGAAGGAAAAGAUUAAGGUUAAUACCGUGGAGUCAUGAGGGUACCGUAAGAAUAAGCACAUCGGAUAACUACGUGCCACAGCAGGCGGUAUAAUACGGAGGGUGCGAGCGUUUUUCGGAAUUAUUGGGGGUAAAAAGCGUGCGCGGCGGUGUUGUAAGACAGAGGUGAAAUCCCCGGGCUCAACCUGGGAACUGCGUUUGUGACUGCAAGGCUGGAGUGCGGCAGAGGGGGAUGGAAUUCCGCGUGUAGCAGUGAAAUGCGUAGAUAUGCGGAGGAACACCGAUGGCGAAGGCAAUCCCCUGGGCCUGCACUGACGCUCAUGCACGAAAGCGUGGGGAGCAAACAGGAUUAGAUACCCUGGUGUUCCACGCCCUAAACGAUGUCAACUGGUUGUUGGGUCUUUACUGACUCAGUAACGAAGCUAACGCGAGAAGUUGACC
rnacentral:rRNA from 1 species